rnacentral:lncRNA from 1 species
GAUUGAAAUAUGUUUCCAAUAAUACUUUUUUAAAGUAAAUUGGAGCAAAAUUGAUAGUUUGAAUUAUUUGUUCAAUGUGUCUCUCAAAUUCUGCGAGAAUCUAACUUUGGCCAAUUUUGCCUUUUCUUGUUUCAUUCUCUUUGAAAAUUGAUUUCAUCUAGUAUUCUUGCAAAAAUUAUACCACAUGUGUUAGCUUGGAAUACUUAUAUACUCUU